AACCCCCUGCCGUGUUCGUGAUGGGGUCGGUUUCCUUGAACCAACAGCGAAAGAUAGGGAGCCCCUACAGUCGCGUGGUGUGCAUACCCUUUGCUUGUCGAAGGGAAGCCUAAAGCGCAUGCGGGGCACCCACCUGCGAUGGCAGGUUCACGAGGAAACCUCCACACGGCACUCAGGUGGGGGGUUU
rnacentral:other from 1 species